CGUCCGCACCCGCCCAGACCCUGAGGCACAGCCCGAACCGACAGCCAGGCCUGAGCCUACAGCCCGGCACACACUCACACCUGUGGUUAUCCUGGACAUGUGAGGAAGACCUUCGGCCUUCCUCCAAGAAAACCUCUGAAGAGACAAGAAGGCCCCAUAGCAACAAUGGGAGCAUGAGCCGUGCAGUAGAGUGACGUAGAUUUCAAGAAUCGAAAAUGGGAGGAGAUUUAUGGGAACUACUGAUGAAUAUGUACUAGCAUAAAGUAUAAAAGUCCUGCUUGGAUUCUUUGCCUGUUGUACGUGAGGCAGGGUGGGAAGCCCUCCUGUACCCCAGUCUGUUUUGCUUAUGCUUUAUCUGAACCACUGCCAAAUUUCUUUUUGUAACUACUGAAUUAUAUUUGAUUGUAUUAUUAUUUUAUAUCUCCAUUAAAAUAGCUGCUAAUUUUUAAA